rnacentral:rRNA from 1 species
UACGAAGGGGGCUAGCGUUGUUCGGAAUCACUGGGCGUAAAGCGCACGCAGGCGGGUCGUUAAGUCAGGGGUGAAAUCCCGAGGCUCAACCUCGGAACUGCCUUUGAUACUGGCGACCUUUGAGUCCGGGAGAGGUGAGUGGAACUCCGAGUGUAGAGGUGAAAUUCGUAGAUAUUCGGAAGAACACCGGUGGCGAAGGCGGCCCGCUGGGCAGGAAGGCUCGCAAGAGCCGGCUGACGCUGAGGCGCGACAGCGUGGGGAGCAAACAGG